UGCGCAGGCGGUUUUGUAAGACAGAUGUGAAAUCCCCGGGCUUAACCUGGGAACUGCGUUUGUGACUGCAAGGCUAGAGUACGGCAGAGGGGGGUGGAAUUCCUGGUGUAGCAGUGAAAUGCGUAGAGAUCAGGAGGAACACCGAUGGCGAAGGCAGCCCCCUGGGCCUGUACUGACGCUCAUGCACGAAAGCUGGGAGCAAACA
rnacentral:rRNA from 1 species